CUUAUCAAGAGAGGUGGAGGGAAAGGCCCUAUGAAACCCAGCAACCAGUAUUAAUUACAUGGUGCUAAAUCCUACAGCAUUAGCUGAGAGAUAAGA
rnacentral:ncRNA from 1 species